AAUGGCUUUCAUCCUUUGUGA
rnacentral:miRNA from 2 species